UACGGGGGGGGCAAGCGUUGUUCGGAAUUACUGGGCGUAAAGGGCUCGUAGGCUGCCAACUAAGUCAGACGUGAAAUCCCUCGGCUUAACCGGGGAACUGCGUCUGAUACUGGAUGGCUUGAGGUUGGGAGAGGGAUGCGGAAUUCCAGGUGUAGCGGUGAAAUGCGUAGAUAUCUGGAGGAACACCGGUGGCGAAGGCGGCAUCCUGGACCAAUUCUGACGCUGAGGAGCGAAAGCCAGGGGAGCAAACAGGG
rnacentral:rRNA from 1 species